AAUAAAUAAAUAAGUAAAUAAGUAAGUAAGUCUUUGGGGAAUUUUUGUUGAAAAAAAAAAAUAGGGAAGAGAAGUCUUAUGGCAGACCAAAAAAGAAGCCAUUGCUGCCACUAAACCUCCUGAGAACCAGAGACAACUCCGAGAGCUUCUUGGAAUGGCAGGAUUCUGUUACAUUUAGAUUCUUAACUUUGGGCCAAUAGCUAAGCCACUCUAUGCUUCUUUGAAAGGGCUCGACAUAGCCCUUCCCUGGAUUUGGACCCAGGAUGUCAGAGGGCUUUUGAGACACCAAAGGGAAAAAUUAACCUCAGCCCCUGCAUUAGGAUUGCCCGACCCUCAGCAGGCUUACAGGUUUAUAUACAUGAAGGGCAGGGCAUUGGACUCGGAGCGCUUAUCCAGAUGGUGGGAAACUCCCCAAAGCCGAAUGUGUGUUUCUCUAUGAAAUCAGAUCGUACCACCCAAGGAUGGCCUCCCUGCCUCAGGGCGGUAGCGGCAGCCUGAAAUGUCUUUCAGGGAGCAGAAGGGUUUACCCUGGGACCGUCCAUCACAGUGUUCACUCCCCACCAGGUGCUAACCCUGCUAGAGCAGAAAGGGGGCUCCUGGUUAAAGGCUGGAUGAAUGGGCACAUACCAGGCCAUCCUGUUAGACAACCCAAUGCCACCUUGCAGACACCGAAUGUUACUCUGUAGGACCCAGCCACUCCCAACUGUGAGGGCAGGCUGGGACCUCCAUAUAACUGUUUAGAAAUUAUUGACCAGGUUUACCCCAGGUGACCAGACUUGUCAGAUCAGCUGCUGGGACUUACACGCUGAUGGAAGCAGCUUCAUGGAAAAUAAACAAAGAAAAGCCGGGUAUGCGGUGGUGACCAAUGGCAAGGUAAUGGAGGCGCAUGCCCUACUCACAGGCACCUCAGCACAAAAAGCUGAGCUGAGUGCCCUCACCAGAGUGCUGGAACUGUCUCAGGACAGACGGCUCAGUAUAUAUACUGACUCUAAACUUGUUUUCAUGCUGUAUGUGCUCAUGGGGCAAUAUGGAAAGAAAGAGGAUUUCUAACUUUGGAGAACAGACAUUAAAUAUCCAAAAGAGGCUCUAACCUUCCUUAAGGCCGGUAAUUUGCCUACUCUGCCUACUCAAAGUUGCCAUUAUGCAUUGCCCAGAGCAUCAGAAGGACAAUUCCCAGGUAACUAGAGGGAAUCUAAAAGCCAAUAAAGCAGCAAAGCAAGCAGCCCAGGGAGACUCCCUUAAUUGGGGCUCUAACACCCCACUUAGACUUGACAGAAUUGAAACCUCAUUACACAGGGCCAGGCAAAGAAUAGGCCAUGAGUGGGGGUUUGCUAACACUGACACUAGCUGUUGAUGGAGAAGCGAUGCCCAAAGCUCUGGUAUACCCAGUCCUGAAACAUCUGCAUGAAGGAAUGCACUAUGGGUGGGAUGCACUGGCUGAUUUAAUCCGGCCUUACUUAAAGGGACCGCGUUUGCAGAAGACUAUUCAAAAAAUAACUCAGCGUUGCCAAUUAGAUGCUAGAAAUAACCCCAAGAUAGAACGCAACCCAGCCGAGAAGGGGCAACAAUACAAAGGAACAUGCCCCAUUUGAAGAUUGUCAGAUUGACUUUACCAAUUUGCCUAAAACCACCGGGAAUUUCAAAUACUUGCUGGUUAUUGUGGACACCUUUUCCUAAUGGGUUGAGACAUACCUGACUAGAAUCGAAAAGGUGAAAACUCAAGGAAUUAAUUCCCAGAUUCGGACUCCCUAACAGUAUUCAGAACAGCCAUCAUUUAUAUCUGAAGUCACCUAGAAAGUCAGUCAAGCACUGCAGGUCCGAUGGAGAGUACAGGGUUCCUGAAUCCCUGUCUACUGGAACUGGGAAACGGACAUGAGCCACACCUUGGAGAAAACUUGGGCAAAGCUGUCAGGAGGCACAUUUGCAACGAGACCAUGUGCCUCCUCUUGCCUAUUAGGGAUCAGGGUAGCCCCUAGAUGUGGGCUCACACUGAACCCUUUUGAAAUUGUCUAUGGGAAACCCAAACUUCUGUUCUAGGGACUCCCCCCACUGGGUUAGAACAG